GCUUUGUUUCAGCAGGGAUGGUGGUAGCAGGCUGCUACCUGCCAGGCUGUGUGUGCAGGGGAUAUGUGGGAAACCUCUGUUCCUUCCCCUCAAUUUUGCUCUGAAUCUAAAACCCUGCUUAAAAAAGUCAAUUCUUAAAAAAAAACAGGAUGGAGACAAACCUUUCAGAUACAAUACAUGAACUUGGGUUCAAAAACAGUAAGAAAACUCUCUCCGGGGCAAUUACAGAAAUUAGCAAGUCAAGAAGGGUGACCAAGUUGUUCACCUUUUAGUACCUGCAGCUGGUCAUGCAUGUCUGGUACCUGAGGCCUCAGUAAAUGCUGAAAAUUUCAUUUAAAAACCAGAACACGUCUCAGGACAGAGGCUGCAGUGAAGGAGGGACACAGAGGUACUCGCAUCCCGUGCCUUGGGCCCCUCACUCCAGGACGUUAGUAUCAUCCGCACUAAAAGAACAGUGCGUUCUGGCCAUUCUGGGACCUAAGCAGGGGCCAGCCAGACCUCAGCAUCCUUCACAUCUGUCCUGCUGGCCACGGUGUCUGGGGAGAGCUGUGCCACCCCCCUGCUCUGAUCACACCUACCUUCUCCGGGGGACUGGCUGGUGCCCAGAGUGGGAAAUGAAACAUGUCUUCAAUUGUUGAGGAUUCACUACACAUUUCUGUGUACUUCAGCAAAAACUCACGGAUGGCCUGUGCUCCUAGCAGAAGAUCCGAGUGUUUUAAGGAAACUGAAGUUCGCGGAGCGGCUGCAGGACACCAGAAGCUGUUUUCCAUCUGGUUCCUGCAUUGUUUAAUUUGUGCUUCACAGAGAGGUUUUAUUCUCAUUUGACAAUGAUAUAAACUAAAAAUAAAAUCCUAAGCGCCCCCCAACAACUGAUGGAAUGGCCACAGAAACCCCAGAAAAACCUUACAGCUGAGUUCCUGGCCAUGAUGGGAUGGGAGGCUGGACGGGCCUCAGAUACCCCUCCAGUUUACAGUUUAGACACAACAAUAACCAGCUUUAAAACGGAGAUUAUAAAAACGAACAGAACAGACUCUUUGUGGCAAUGAGAUACCAAAUUAUGAACAGGACCUAAGGCCAUUGCAGGCAAGGGUGAAGUCACACACCCCGCACGCAAAGAAUCGAGUGUCCUCACUGCCACCAGGUUUUUCUUCUUCUCUAGCAGCCGAACAAGCACUAGCCUUGAAUCAACAUGAAACCCAUCGCAGCUCAUCCAGCUCACAGACACUGCUCCGUGAGCCACAACUACAGCUCUGAUUGCACAAGAGGCUGAUUUCAGUAACUCUCUCCUAAGCUACCCCGGACCACAGACGGGUUCUGACCGGUUUACAGAGGCUGCCUUCACAUUCUGAAAACACCUUUUGACAUACAGGACCUGACUGUAAUACAUUUAAAUGUUACAUCUCCACCCCAAGGUGAACAUGAGUCGUAUGUUACACACGUGUCUGUUCAACACAUGUGUCAGCACCACCUUUGUAAAUAUCCGCAGCUCUCCUGUGCCUGAUGAAUGGGUAUCUUUAGCCAACUGUUCAGCCUGAAGCUCCUGCCCCAACCCCUCCUGCCGGAAGUGCCCAUCUCUGGUCUUGGCAGGAGGCUGGACUUCCCAGCCCAUAGGGUGGCCUCCUUGCAGGCUGUAACCCUUUACAAGAAAUAAAGUCUUCUCUGCUUUUCCAAAUUUAUAAAUUGUGGCUUUUUUAAAGUUAACGGUGGCUAUCUUGCGAAUCAUUUACUGAGCAAUGAUAUUCGGCUAUAUGAGAUGGCUCAUUUGCCUAAAUGCUUCAUCGCUGCUGUUUCGUUGGCAUAAUUACCUGAUCAGGAGUUAGGCUCUGCUCCCUCAUGUUUUGUUAUUAGCCGCAGCAGCAUCACAGGAACUUCCCUGAAAGAGGACCUCAGGUUCCCACCAGGCACUAGGACCUCAUGUGUGUUUGCAUUUCUGGGCAUUCUUACGGAAUAUUUUAGGAAACAAUAGUGCUUGCUUCUACCCUCGGAUAAAUGUAUGCCAUUUUCCCACGGUUUUGGUGUAAAUGGCUGUGGGGAUGGCUGUGGAGAUGGAUUAACUUUCAUACAUGAGCAAACCUUGGCUCUGGGUGGUUAGAUCGGCAGAACGCCCUGCACAGCCUUGGACCGACCUGCCCGGGUUUCCAGGUGCACGCUCGGAAAGCAAUGGCAUCAGGGAGAUUGUGUCACCUGCACAUUUGCAUCACUGAAGACUGUUUUGGCUGCAGAUAAGCACACCCUGUCCUUACUUCAAUGACAAAACGUUUUCAAGAUAGAGGGACCAGCUAGCGUUCAGGAGAAACAAGAACUCGGCUGCCCUGGGAUGGAGCCCCGGUCCCUCCUGGACCCCGUCUGAAGACAUAAAGGCGUCAGUUUCUUCCUAGUCACGUGGGAGGACGUAGAGCCCACUGCAGCUCUUGGCUGUGUUUUCAGAAAACGGCCCUUUUGCAUCCUCUCGGUCACUGUCUGAGGACACGGAGCCCCGGACGCCUCUGCUGUUUCCUGCAGGAGGUUAGUCGGCUCCCAGCACCGUUCUCUGAGGAAACAUCUGAGAGCUUCAACGCCCUUGUCGGAGUCCAUUCUCCUAGACUUGAUGGUUAGAGCAUACAAGGCGUACAGACACACCAGGGUGCUGAGGUCCAAUACACCCGCGACAAACAGCAAUUUAUCCACCCCCUUGUGCAAAACCCGGAUCCGAUGCCUCCUCUGCCUAACUCCAGUCACCCAGAGCCUCGUCUCGUGGGUCUCCAACCUCCUGGUCCAAUCGGCUGGGGCCGCCUCUCAUCUUCCAGGACCCGCCCUCUCCCGCCGGAAGCGCCCUCCUCCUGGCGGAAACAGCUUCUCCCCGUCCCGCCCCUCAGUCGGCUCUUCACACGGAUACCACGAAUGCCACGGUGGCCUCCUGAAGACGGAGUCCGGUCUCACAUUCCUCCAGCUUCCUGUGGGGCUCCCCCAAAAAUGGAAAUUCAAUCACAAGGCGCCUGGGCUGACGUCUCCCCUCCUAUGCAUAAAGCCCAGCGAAGGGUGAGCGCACGGCAUGGCACCUGCAGCAUGGGGUUCACGUUCUGGAAGGUUCCGGCUGACUCCCACCCUGCCCUUCACUGGCCAAGUAAACUUGCAGAAGUUACUUAACCCUUGACCUAGAAGAGCCUCCUGUCACCUGAAAAGGGAAAGUCGGGAUUGUAAGGAAAGGAAUCUCAUAGGGCUUCUCUGAGGAGACAAGUCAUUGGAUUGGGCUUAGACGUUCCAUCCGUGGCAAGAUUUCCGGCUUUGCCCUUUGGAGCCUGAGGAGCAAGGGUAGAAUGAGGAUCGUGAGGUUCUUCAGAGGCAGUUACUCACAAGGUCACAGCGCAGAAACGGCAAGAAAUGUCAGUUAUAAAAUGUCCAUGUGCAUUUUAAAUGAAUGGUUAUUAAAAUCCUUCUUUUUCCAUAA